AGGACGAACGCUGGCGGCGUGCUUAACACAUGCAAGUCGAGCGAGGCUCCUCCUUCGGGAGGAAGCCCUAGCGGCGAACGGGUGAGUAACACGUGGGCAACCUGCCCCUAGCACUGGGAUAACCCCGGGAAACCGGGGCUAAUACCGGAUACGACUUCGGAAGGCAUCUUCUGAAGUGGAAAAGGUUACUGGCUAGGGAUGGGCCCGCGGCCUAUCAGCUUGUUGGUGGGGUAAUGGCCCACCAAGGCGACGACGGGUAGCCGGCCUGAGAGGGCGACCGGCCACACUGGGACUGAGACACGGCCCAGACUCCUACGGGAGGCAGCAGUGGGGAAUAUUGCACAAUGGGCGAAAGCCUGAUGCAGCGACGCCGCGUGAGGGAUGACGGCCUUCGGGUUGUAAACCUCUUUCAGCAGGACGAAGCGAAAGUGACGGUACCUGCAGAAGAAGCACCGGCCAACUACGUGCCAGCAGCCGC
rnacentral:rRNA from 1 species